rnacentral:rRNA from 1 species
CCUACGGGAGGCAGCAGUGGGGAAUUUUGGACAAUGGGGGAAACCCGUAGAUCCAGCCAUUCCGCGUGUGCGAUGAAGGCCUUCGGGUUGUAAAGCACUUUUGGUCAGGAAAGAAAUCGCACAGAUUAAUACUUUGUGUGGAUGACGGUACCUGCAGAAUAAGCACCGGCUAACUACGUGCCAGCAGCCGCGGUAAUACGUAGGGUGCAAGCGUUAAUCGGAAUUACUGGGCGUAAAGCGUGCGCAGGCGGUUCGGAAAGAGAGGUGUGAAAUCCCAGGGCUUAACCUUGGAACUGCACUUUUAACUCCCGAGCUAGAGUAUGUCAGAGGGGGGUGGAAUUCCGCGUGUAGCAGUGAAAUGCGUAGAUAUGCGGAGGAACACCGAUGGCGAAGGCAGCCCCCUGGGAUAAUACUGACGCUCAUGCACGAAAGCGUGGGGAGCAAACAGGAUUAGAUACCCUGGUAGUCCACGCCCUAAACGAUAUCACUAGCUGUGGGUCGGUCGUCCGUUACGUUAGUCGCAGCGUACGACGUGUAGUAGUACCGACCGUCGGGAGGUACGGCCGGCCGACGAGUUAAACGUUAAAACGGUAAAGUUAGUACGGACGUGAGACGUGCGACGGACGACGACGACGGGAGGUUAGG